GGCCCUUUGGCCCAAUGGUAAGGCGUCUGACUACGAUCGAGAUACUCGACAAGUUAUCAGGAGAUUCUGGGUUCGAGCCCCAGGAGGGUCA